rnacentral:rRNA from 1 species
UGCAGUCAACGCACAGCGAAAGGUGCUUGCACCUUUCAAGUGAGUGGCGAACGGGUGAGUAACACGUGGACAACCUGCCUCAAGGCUGGGGAUAACAUUUGGAAACAGAUGCUAAUACCGAAUAAAACUUAGUGUCGCAUGACACAAAGUUAAAAGGCGCUUCGGCGUCACCUAGAGAUGGAUCCGCGGUGCAUUAGUUAGUUGGUGGGGUAAAGGCCUACCAAGACAAUGAUGCAUAGCCAAGUUGAGAGACUGAUCGGCCACAUUGGGACUGAGACACGGCCCAAACUCCUACGGGAGGCUGCAGUAGGGAAUCUUCCACAAUGGGCGAAAGCCUGAUGGAGCAACGCCGCGUGUGUGAUGAAGGCUUUCGGGUCGUAAAGCACUGUUGUAUGGGAAGAACAGCUAGAAUAGGAAAUGAUUUUAGUUUGACGGUACCAUACCAGAAAGGGACGGCUAAAUACGUGCCAGCAGCCGCGGUAAUACGUAUGUCCCGAGCGUUAUCCGGAUUUAUUGGGCGUAAAGCGAGCGCAGACGGUUUAUUAAGUCUGAUGUGAAAGCCCGGAGCUCAACUCCGGAAUGGCAUUGGAAACUGGUUAACUUGAGUGCAGUAAAGGUAAGUGGAACUCCUG